rfam:Gavia stellata contig83489, whole genome shotgun sequence.
GCUGUUCAGUGAUGAGGUGUGGAACAAGCACUGAGCAGUACCUGACACCUGUGGAGAGUGGCUCUGCACUGCAUUUCUUCUGUGAGAGCAGC